UACGUAGGGGGCAAGCGUUGUCCGGAAUUAUUGGGCGUAAAGCGCGCGCAGGCGGUCCUUUAAGUCUGAUGUGAAAGCCCGGGGCUCACCCCCGGAAGUGCAUUGGAAACUGCCAGGCUCGAGUCCCGGAGAGGAGGGUGGAAUUCCUGGUGUAGCGGUGAAAUGCGUAGAUAUCAGGAGGAACACCGGUGGCGAAGGCGGCCCUCUGGACGGUGACUGACGCUGAGACGCGAAAGCGUGGGGAGCAAACAGG
rnacentral:rRNA from 1 species